rnacentral:lncRNA from 1 species
UCAGCGGGCGGGGCGGAAGGGAGGAGCCAGGGUCUUCCUCCUCAUUUCUCUCUGCUUUAGUGGCAACUUGGGAAGUGGUUGGGUCACCGCCAGGGUUCCAGCUCCCAUGGGCAGCCCCCUGCCUGACUGUGGUUCCGGUGUCCCACACCUAGUCUGGUUCCCAGGCUUUGGGUAUCGGCACUUCCUCCCCGGUCUCUGGAGUCCCAGGUUGUCACAGCUGCCUGCCGCUGCUUGUCGGUGGGUGGCUCACCAUCCCCGGUCAGGCCUUUCAGCUCCUCCAACACCUUCCGAACUAGCUCCCUAUAUCACAUGCCCUCUGUUGAAAUACCUGACUUGAGUUCUGGUUUCCUAGCUGGAUCUUGACUAAGAGAAGCCCCUACUAUGUGCCAGGCUGGGAUCCCUGCCUUCAAGGAGCUUACAAUCUAGUGCGGAAAGGGACGUUUGUCAAAUCAUCCCAUGAAUAUGCAUAAAAGUUCAGACAGCACCCAGUGCUGUGAAGGCCACUGUCGGUGAGGGAAGACCCUAGAGAGGAGGCUUGAUCUCACUUGGGGCCUGGCAGGCACCUCGAGGAAGGGAUGUAUCUAAGAGACAGGAUCUCAUGUUAUUUAGGCUUGUCUGGGACUCCUGGCCUCAAGCAAUCCUCCUGCCUCGGCCUACCGAAGUGCUGGGAUUACAGGCAUGAGCCACUGCACCCGGCCACCAGCAUUUGUUAAAGUCUCACCACGGAUCAGGCUCUCAUCUAAAAAACUUGAAGUUGUCAUUCUGUGUCCUUACAGUAACCCCUCAAGCUGAAGACAAAAUAUUUGCCAGUCUUGUUCAUGAAGGUAUUCCAAUGCCUAGAACAUUGCUUUUGCACAUAGUAGGUGCUCAACAAACGGGCCUUGCACACAGUAGUUAAUAUCACAGGUUAAAGACGAAGAAUAAGGGGGAUCCCUGCCUUGAUGGACAAGGAGAAAAGCAGGGCCCUGAUGAGGGAGCCCCGCACUGCCAGGAUGGAGCAGGAGUGUCAAAGGAAGCCUUCCAACAGCGGUGGCACAGGCGCCAAGGCAACAAGGAAGGGUGGGAGCUCUGCAAGGCACCGGGCACUCCAGGCAGAAGGACCUGUGUGGGGAAAAGCAAGGCAGCUGGAAAAAGCAAGCGGAGCUGCGAAGGCGCCAAGGUAUAAACACAGACCAAGAGCCAAGGGUGGGGCCGGUACAGGGGGUCACUGGGAGAUGCCAGCACCCUCCACCCAGGCGUCCUUCGGGGCCAGCCAACCUAAGGAAGGAGGCCAGGCCUCACGCCCCUCUGUGCCUGACCCCUAGCCACACUGCCCUGUGGGGCCCGGCCUGGUUUCCCCUCCACUGCUCAGGGCGGAAAUCCAGCAGGGGCAGCCAGGCCGACAUCCAACCCUCCCACCGCAGGCCUGGCCUCAGCCCCUCUCCGGGCCUUUAACGAAGCCAUAAAUCCCCCGCAGGGCCGUGGGAGGGGCGGCGGCCCUGCACAUGUCCCGGCGGCCGGACAGAGGCCGGCAUCUCUGGCUGGCGGUGACUGAGCGCCCCGACACCCCAUCACUCAUUCCCCGCGCCCAGCUGCCCCCGCCUCGGCAGCAGCCCAUCCAUCUCAGCCGGCAGCUUUCAAGUCCGGCCCCAGGCCCCUCUGCUUAGUGUUAAGAUGAGCCCGGCUCACGCGGACUGUUCUUAUUUAUCUGGAGGUUCGUCCCACUGUGGCCAUCACUCUGCGGGGCGGCCCCAGUUCCCGGGACAGGCCCCCAGAAUGCGAUCCUCCUCCGUUUCCUUUCCCGCCCCCACCUGGCAACGCACAGAGAAGGCCUGCAGCCCGAGGGCGGAUUUGUUUCAGUCGCAGGUCGCUGGGCGUUUUGACCUCUGCUGUUUUCUUGGAAGGCUUUCAGCAGCCCUUUGAGGCAUCAGUGUCCGUGCUCUGUAGCGGUGGAAACUGAGGCACAGAGAGGGAAGCUCAGAGUUCUCCUGGCUGUCUGGCUCUGAUGCAGGACCAGUGGCCAAUCUUUGGCCAAAUCCUGCGAGGCCUCCUGGGGCCUUUGCAUGGCUGCCUUGCAAGUUUGGUCAGAUCAAUUUUCGUCCAGCAUUCUCUGCUACACUGCAAAGUCCUCCAGGGCAAGGAUCCACUCACGGAGGCCUUGCUGGACUCAGUCAUGGGAAGGGGGAGAUUAGUGUUGGGGUUUUGGGCAUGUUAUGCAUUGAAUGUUUGUGUUCCCCCCAAAUUUACAUGUUGAAGCCCUAACCUCCAAUGUGAAGGUUUUAGAGGUGGGGUGUUUGAGAGGUAAUUAGGUUGAGAUGUGGUCAUGAGGGUGGAACCCCCAUCUUGGGAUUCACGUCCUUAUAAGGAAAGGAAGAAACACCAGAGUUACACCUCUCUGUCUCUCUCCUUGC